rnacentral:rRNA from 1 species
GAGACAGCAGUCGCCGCGGGAAUACGAAGGGUGCAAGCGUUACUCGGAAUUACUGGGCGUAAAGCGUGCGUAGGUGGUGGUUUAAGUCCGUUGUGAAAGCCCUGGGCUCAACCUGGGAAUUGCAGUGGAUACUGGGUCACUAGAGUGUGGUAGAGGAUAGUGGAAUUUCCGGUGUAGCAGUGAAAUGCGUAGAGAUCGGAAGGAACAUCUGUGGCGAAGGCGACUAUCUGGGCCAACACUGACACUGAGGCACGAAAGCGUGGGGAGCAAACAGGAUUAGAGACCCCCGUAGUCCCUGUCUCUUAUAC